rnacentral:rRNA from 1 species
UACGUAGGGUGCGAGCGUUGCCCGGAUUUAUUGGGCGUAAAGGGCGCGUAGGCGGCUCGUCACGUCCGUUGUGAAAUCGCCCGGCUCAACUGGGCGGGGUCAGCGGAUACGGUCGAGCUUGAGCAAGCUAGGGGGCAAUGGAAUUCCCGGUGUAGUGGUGGAAUGCGUAGAUAUCGGGAGGAACACCAGUGGCGAAGGCGGUUGCCUGGAGCUUUGCUGACGCUGAGGCGCGAAAGCGUGGGGAGCAAACAGG